AUAUACAGCAAACUGAAUACAUCAAACUUGUGUGGAUAUACAGCAAACUGAAUACAUCAAACUUUUUUUUUAAGAAUUGACACGUGACACAGCAACAAAUGCACGUGCUUCUGUGACCGUCAUUUCAUAAUUAUCUUCAGUAAUGGCAGAGUCCGCGAAAUCUGUAAUUGAUUUAGUCGACAAACUGGCAGGUGAUAGGAGCCUGUUAACAACUUUAGCAAAUGUUUUAGAAAACGGGGGUCGCAGGAUGCACGAAGUCGUAAAUGAAAAUAAUGUGGAAAAAGAAUUAAAAACUAUUUUUUUGAGACCAGCUUCAUCAGUUGCCGCCGGGCCUACACAUUCCGAAAUCAGUAACACGUCAAGUCUUGCAUCAUCUUAUUUCACGAGGUCAACGAUACGACCACCACAAAGAUUAACCCAACCAACCAAAAAAAGGCGACCAACUUUCAAAGGUCCUGCUACUUUUACAAAGGAGGUAGUAUUGCUGGGCGGACCUCACAACAAUGUAGUUGUAAAACACGGAACCAAGCAAUUACUCUAUGAAAGUGGGCAUGUGAUGAAUGCCUUUGAAUUCCACAAGGAGUGGUCGGCUGAAGAACUUCUAGAGAAUAUUAGAUCAGCUUUCAGCAGUCAUCUUCCUCCAGGAGCUAAUUUGGAAAUACUCAUGGCUUGCCACAAUAAACUGAUAGCUCCUUCUCUAAUGAGGAACCAAACACUCAAUGGUUGGAUGAUGAACAAAAUAUUUAAGCAACGCUCUGUCUAUAUUCGCCCCUCUGUUGAAAUCUUGGAUCUGCAAAGGCUGGACCAACAACCUGUAAGUUUUAUUUUUCUUGUUUUGUGAAAUAUUUGCCUCAUGUCUAUUUUAGGAUUAAGUUACUAGGGUUUAGAAGUUUUGCUGUGUUACUUCUAGGUAGAUGACAUGCAAAUCAUAUAUUAUACUUUUCUAUAAUUUGUCAGGGACAGUAAUAAGUUAUCUGUUCAUCUGAAAUUGUGUA